AUUGGAUAUCAAAAGAAACUAAGGGAUAUCAAUAAAAUACAAUAUACAGGUCAUGGGAGUCUUGUUUUUGUUUGUUGUUGUUGUUGUUGUUUUUGUUUUAAAGGCUUGUUUUAUUUUAAUGGCUGAUCUAUGUAGUCACGGAGGCCAGUAUGUACAGACAAAGUCUUGAUGAUCUCCUCCUUCUUGGCCUGGAGGCGCUCUUCACGGCGCUUGCGUGCUUCCUUGGUCUUAGACCUGCGGGCCUCAGCCUGGUCAAUGUGGCGAUCAAUCUUCUUAGACUCACGGUAUCUUCUAAGCAGCCGGCGCAGAAUCCUCAUUCUCCUCAUCCACGUGACCUUCUCUGGCAUUCGGGCAUUGGCUGUACCCUUCCGCUUACCUAUGCCCAUGUGCCUGCCCUUCCGGCGGGCCAAGGUAUUUUUCCGGCAUCACGCCCGGGAAUGGACCCUCACAGGCUUGCGGAUGAUCAGCCCAUCUUUGAUCAGCUUUCGGAUCUGCUGACGGGAGUUGGCAUUGGCGAUUUCAUUGGUCUCAUUGGGGUCUAACCAGACCUUCUUCUUGCCACAGCGGAGGACACUAGAGGCGAGCCUCUUCUGAAGCCUGAGCAUACUCAGGGCUGCGGCCGCAGCAGCGAAAGGAAAGAGCUCCUGUUUUUGUUUUUGAUCUUCAAAUGCUGAGCAA
rnacentral:lncRNA from 1 species